rnacentral:rRNA from 1 species
GACGAACGCUGGCGGCGUGCUUAACACAUGCAAGUCGAACGGAAAGGCCCUGCUUUUGUGGGGUGCUCGAGUGGCGAACGGGUGAGUAACACGUGAGUAACCUGCCCUUGACUUUGGGAUAACUUCAGGAAACUGGGGCUAAUACCGGAUAGGAGCUCCUGCUGCAUGGUGGGGGUUGGAAAGUUUCGGCGGUUGGGGAUGGACUCGCGGCUUAUCAGCUUGUUGGUGGGGUAGUGGCUUACCAAGGCUUUGACGGGUAGCCGGCCUGAGAGGGUGACCGGCAACAUUGGGACUGAGAUACGGCCCAGACUCCUACGGGAGGCAGCAGUGGGGAAUAUUGCACAAUGGGCGGAAGCCUGAUGCAGAAACGCCGCGUGCGGGAUGACGGCCUUCGGGUGGUAAACCGCUUUCGCCUGUGACGAAGCGUGAGUGACGGUAAUGGGUAAGAAGCACCGGCUAACUACGUG